rnacentral:rRNA from 1 species
AUUGAACGCUGGCGGCAGGCCUAACACAUGCAAGUCGAACGGUAACAGGAAACAGCUUGCUGUUUCGCUGACGAGUGGCGGACGGGUGAGUAAUGUCUGGGAAACUGCCUGAUGGAGGGGGAUAACUACUGGAAACGGUAGCUAAUACCGCAUAACGUCGCAAGACCAAAGAGGGGGACCCUCGGGCCUCUUGCCAUCGGAUGUGCCCAGAUGGGAUUAGCUUGUUGGUGGGGUAACGGCUCACCAAGGCGACGAUCCCUAGCUGGUCUGAGAGGAUGACCAGCCACACUGGAACUGAGACACGGUCCAGACUCCUACGGGAGGCAGCAGUGGGGAAUAUUGCACAAUGGGCGCAAGCCUGAUGCAGCCAUGCCGCGUGUAUGAAGAAGGCCUUCGGGUUGUAAAGUACUUUCAGUGGGGAGGAAGGGAGUAAAGUUAAUACCUUUGCUCAUUGACGUUACCCGCAGAAGAAGCACCGGCUAACUCCGUG